rnacentral:rRNA from 3 species
AGAGUUUGAUCAUGGCUCAGAUUGAACGCUGGCGGCAGGCCUAACACAUGCAAGUCGAACGGUAACAGGAAGCAGCUUGCUGCUUUGCUGACGAGUGGCGGACGGGUGAGUAAUGUCUGGGAAACUGCCUGAUGGAGGGGGAUAACUACUGGAAACGGUAGCUAAUACCGCAUAAUGUCGCAAGACCAAAGAGGGGGACCUUCGGGCCUCUUGCCAUCGGAUGUGCCCAGAUGGGAUUAGCUGGUAGGUGGGGUAACGGCUCACCUAGGCGACGAUCCCUAGCUGGUCUGAGAGGAUGACCAGCCACACUGGAACUGAGACACGGUCCAGACUCCUACGGGAGGCAGCAGUGGGGAAUAUUGCACAAUGGGCGCAAGCCUGAUGCAGCCAUGCCGCGUGUAUGAAGAAGGCCUUCGGGUUGUAAAGUACUUUCAGCGGGGAGGAAGGGAGUAAAGUUAAUACCUUUGCUCAUUGACGUUACCCGCAGAAGAAGCACCGGCUAACUCCGUGCCAGCAGCCGCGGUAAUACGGAGGGUGCAAGCGUUAAUCGGAAUUACUGGGCGUAAAGCGCACGCAGGCGGUUUGUUAAGUCAGAUGUGAAAUCCCCGGGCUCAACCUGGGAACUGCAUCUGAUACUGGCAAGCUUGAGUCUCGUAGAGGGGGGUAGAAUUCCAGGUGUAGCGGUGAAAUGCGUAGAGAUCUGGAGGAAUACCGGUGGCGAAGGCGGCCCCCUGGACGAAGACUGACGCUCAGGUGCGAAAGCGUGGGGAGCAAACAGGAUUAGAUACCCUGGUAGUCCACGCCGUAAACGAUGUCGACUUGGAGGUUGUGCCCUUGAGGCGUGGCUUCCGGAGCUAACGCGUUAAGUCGACCGCCUGGGGAGUACGGCCGCAAGGUUAAAACUCAAAUGAAUUGACGGGGGCCCGCACAAGCGGUGGAGCAUGUGGUUUAAUUCGAUGCAACGCGAAGAACCUUACCUGGUCUUGACAUCCACGGAAGUUUUCAGAGAUGAGAAUGUGCCUUCGGGAACCGUGAGACAGGUGCUGCAUGGCUGUCGUCAGCUCGUGUUGUGAAAUGUUGGGUUAAGUCCCGCAACGAGCGCAACCCUUAUCCUUUGUUGCCAGCGGUCCGGCCGGGAACUCAAAGGAGACUGCCAGUGAUAAACUGGAGGAAGGUGGGGAUGACGUCAAGUCAUCAUGGCCCUUACGACCAGGGCUACACACGUGCUACAAUGGCGCAUACAAAGAGAAGCGACCUCGCGAGAGCAAGCGGACCUCAUAAAGUGCGUCGUAGUCCGGAUUGGAGUCUGCAACUCGACUCCAUGAAGUCGGAAUCGCUAGUAAUCGUGGAUCAGAAUGCCACGGUGAAUACGUUCCCGGGCCUUGUACACACCGCCCGUCACACCAUGGGAGUGGGUUGCAAAAGAAGUAGGUAGCUUAACCUUCGGGAGGGCGCUUACCACUUUGUGAUUCAUGACUGGGGUGAAGUCGUAACAAGGUAACCGUAGGGGAACCUGCGGUUG